GAUUAAUGAUUUCAAUAUGAAAAUCAAAACUAUAAAACUUUUCACUGAAAAUAAAGAAUAUCUUUAUGUCUAAGGGUAAAAAAUUUUCUGUGGGCAAAAUGGAAGCUAACACUCCGUGAUGUCCUGUGCUGUGUUCCUUAUUAAGCCCAGGGAAGAUGCCGUGGUUGGCAUCCAACAGCUUAGUCACAAAGGGAUUUGAUUGCUGGGAGCACUGGUAUCUGUCGUUAUGAUCUGACAUUUUGAGCUGAGAAC